CGGGCGGACGGGUGAGUAACGCGUGGGUAACCUACCUCAUACAGGGGGAUAACAGUUGGAAACGACUGCUAAUACCGCAUAAGCCCACGGCUCGGCAUCGAGCAGAGGGAAAAGGAGCAAUCCGCCUUGAGAUGGCCUCGCGUCCGAUUAGCUAGUUGGUGAGGUAACGGCCCACCAAGGCGACGAUCGGUAGCCGGACUGAGAGGUUGAACGGCCACAUUGGGACUGAGACACGGCCCAG
rnacentral:rRNA from 1 species